GGGGGAAUAGUUAAACGGUAGAACGACGGUCUCCAAAACCGUUGAUGAAGGUUCGAUUCCUUCUUCCCCCG
rfam:Parcubacteria bacterium GW2011_GWC2_49_9 TY52_C0039, whole genome shotgun sequence.